GUGAGGAAUUUUCCGCAAUGGGCGAAAGCCUGACGGAGCAAUGCCGCGUGAAGGAUGAAGGCCUAUGGGUUGUAAACUUCUUUUCUCAGAAAAGAAUUAUGACGGUAUCUGAGGAAUAAGCAUCGGCUAACUCUGUGUCAGCAGCCGCGGUAAGACAGAGGAUGCAAGCGUUAUCCGGAAUGAUUGGGCGUAAAGCGUCUGUAGGUUGUUUAAAAAGUAUUCUGUCAAAGAUUAGGGCUUAACCCUAGAUAGGCAGAAUAAACUUUUAAGCUAGAGUUUGGUAGAGGCAGAGGGAAUUCCCGGUGGAGCGGUGAAAUGCGUAGAUAUCGGGAGGAACACCAAAGGCGAAGGCACUCUGCUGGGCCAUUACUAACACUGAGAGACGAAAGCGAGGGGAGCAAAUGGGAUUAGAUACCCCGGUAGUCC
rnacentral:rRNA from 1 species